rnacentral:rRNA from 1 species
CGGCGAGUGAAGCGGUAAAAGCUCAAAUUUGAAAUCUGGUACUUUCAGUGCCCGAGUUGUAAUUUGUAGAAUUUGUCUUUGAUUAGGUCCUUGUCUAUGUUCCUUGGAACAGGACGUCAUAGAGGGUGAGAAUCCCGUUUGGCGAGGAUACCUUUUCUCUGUAAGACUUUUUCGAAGAGUCGAGUUGUUUGGGAAUGCAGCUCAAAGUGGGUGGUAAAUUCCAUCUAAAGCUAAAUAUUGGCGAGAGACCGAUAGCGAACAAGUACAGUGAUGGAAAGAUGAAAAGAACUUUGAAAAGAGAGUGAAAAAGUACGUGAAAUUGUUGAAAGGGAAGGGCAUUUGAUCAGACAUGGUGUUUUUUGCAUGCACUCGCCUCUCGUGGGCUUGGGCCUCUCAAAAAUUUCACUGGGCCAACAUCAAUUCUGGCAGCAGGAUAAAUCAUUAAGAAUGUAGCUACUUCGGUAGUGUUAUAGCUUUUUGGAAUACUGUUAGCCGGGAUUGAGGACUGCGCUUCGGCAAGGAUGUUGGCAUAAUGGUUAAAUGCCG